CCGCGUCGGGCUGCGCGGGCGGCUAGUGGCUCGGGCGCGCGCGGAAAGCGCUGGCUCGGAGUUUGCGAUCCGGAGAGCCUGGACCCGCGCUUCGCUGCGUCCCGCCUCCCUCCCCCAUUCGCGGCCUCCUGCUGUCAUCUGCAGCCGCUCCUGCCGCCCCCUGGCGGCCGCCUCGGGAAGGACAGGCCCCAGUUCACCCCUGGGUCUCCUGAGGGUCCCCUUGCAAGGAUGAGCAAGGAGGAUCCUUGGUAUUAUCCCGUAUAUGGGAGGACAGACUCUACCAGAGGUUUAAAAAGUCCUCAAACUUUUUAAACAGGGGGCCAGUUCACUGUCCCUCAGACCGUUGGAGGGCCGGACUAUAGUUUAAAAAAUAACUACGAACAAAUUCCUAUGCACACAGCGGUGGCAAAAACACCCGGCAGGCCGCAUGUGGCCCACGGCCCGAAGUUUGAGGACCCCUGCUAGACAGAGGCAAGGAGGACAAGAGCGGUCGUGGCUGGCCAGGACUAGUGAGACCAGUGGAUAAGUUGAGAUGCUACAUGAUCUGGUCCUCCGUGCAGAAGACGUCCACCACCCGCCUCACUAAGGCUGCCCCUGCGAGGCCCAGUCCCAGCGUCCAGCCAGUCCUCCCGAGGGGUCCGCCUGGAACAGAGUCAGCACACCGCGGGGGUGCCCAAGUGCUGGAGGCUGCUGAGACACUUUCUUGCUCCAGCAAGAGCCUAUGGGAUGUUGACCUCAAGACUGCUCUGUGCCCCUGCCUGGGGCUGGCUCCCUGCUGGACCUGUGAUCCAGGACCAGGCAGAGAAUGGAAAUCUGCAAUCACCACUCCAAGGGCAGAAGCAGAAUGGUUUCUAGGUGGAAAACCAAGGUUUCCCAUGAAGUGUUGGAGCCUCACGCUACAUUUCAGGUUCCAAUUCUCAUUAGAGCUUCACUCUCAUUCUUUCUUGCCCUGUGUCCAGUCAGCGAAGAUAGAACAUUUCAUGUUACUUUGUACAAGACAGCUUUUGGAAUCCCAAAUAUUCAAAUGAUUUCCCUUUUGCCUCUUUGCAAAUAAUAAUACCCACCACGAGGAGGCAUCACCCAGACGCCACCGCCCCCUCGAGGAGUAGCCACGCUGAGCUGGAUGGAAGGUGGACAUGGUGGCCUCCAGAUUCUCAGGCUUCCUACCUCCUGGUGAUAAUUAGCCAGGUGAAGACAAUCACCAUCUUUGGAAUAAGUCCGUUUCCAAGUGCCUGCCUCUCUCAAACAUGAUUGAUCGUUCACUCAUCUUUAUUGAAGCCAACUAUGAAUGAUUGAAGGGAAGAUGAGAAUUGUUAACCAGAGUCAAAGGGGGUGGUGUAG